rnacentral:tRNA from 1 species
UUAAUAGAAGCUAAAAUAGAAGCUGUUCAUUGUUAAUGAAAAAAUUGGCUUAACGCCCUAUUAAU